UUACAGUUAUUCAUUUCACCAUGUAGCUCUGACUUAUUUGAGUUUGAUACUUUUUCUUUGGCAAGACCAAUUCUGCCCAAAGGAAAGAAAGUUCAGUCCAGGCUUAGAAACAUCAACAACAGAAAUCAUUCUGCCUUCUCUUGGAAUACCAAGAUAAAAGUACAAUUAUUUGUGAUUCACUUUGGAGGCUCCUCUGACUUCCAUGGCUUCCCAAGGCAUACCACUAAUCAAGAAGAAACAAUGAGGAGAUUGGAUAACUUUGCUUUAAUUAACAGAUGUAAUAAGUCACACUUUUAUUGUCUUCAAGAAUUUUUGACAUGGUAGUUUUCUAAAAAUGAUCACUAAUGACUUAUGGUUGCACCUGCCAAUUUCUGAAAUGUCCUUAGAUAUAAAUGAGCAAGCUUGCUUACUGAAUACAUCUUUCAUUAAAAAAUACCAAAUAUUUCUUUUCAUUUUCCCAUUCAGCCUUUGCUCCUUUUAGCUGAUUAUAUAUCUAAUCUUCUUUGAAAAGAAAAAAACAAAUAAAGCAAUCAAAAAAUAAAUGGUUUUUCUUUUC
rnacentral:lncRNA from 1 species